GAUCCAGACUCCUACGGGAGGCAGCAGUGAGGAAUAUUGGUCAAUGGGCGGAAGCCUGAACCAGCCAAGUCGCGUGAGGGAUUAAGGCCCUGCGGGUCGUAAACCUCUUUUGCCGGGGAGCAGAGGUCCGGACGUGUCCGGGCCGGGAGAAUACCCGGAGAAAAAGCAUCGGCUAACUCCGUGCCAGCAGCCGCGGUAAUACGGAGGAUGCGAGCGUUAUCCGGAUUUAUUGGGUUUAAAGGGUGCGUAGGCGGCCGCUUAAGUCAGCGGUAAAAUUGCGGGGCUCAACCUCGUCGAGCCGUUGAAACUGGCGUUCUUGAGUGAGCGAGAAGUAUGCGGAAUGCGUGGUGUAGCGGUGAAAUGCAUAGAUAUCACGCAGAACUCCGAUUGCGAAGGCAGCAUACCGGCGCUCAACUGACGCUCAUGCACGAAAGCGUGGGUAUCGAACAGGAUUAGAUACCCCAGUA
rnacentral:rRNA from 1 species